rnacentral:rRNA from 1 species
UUAAAUUGAAGAGUUUGAUCAUGGCUCAGAUUGAACGCUGGCGGCAGGCCUAACACAUGCAAGUCGAACGGUAACAGGAAGCAGCUUGCUGCUUUGCUGACGAGUGGCGGACGGGUGAGUAAUGUCUGGGAAACUGCCUGAUGGAGGGGGAUAACUACUGGAAACGGUGGCUAAUACCGCAUAACGUCGCAAGACCAAAGA